rnacentral:rRNA from 1 species
UAUUUUAUUCAUACCACCUUAAAAAUGCUCAAUCUCGUCUGAUCUCGGAAGCUAAGCAGGGUAGGGCCUGGGAAAUACUGGAUGUGCCAAGGUGUUGGUGCCAAGGUGGAGCAGCAG